rnacentral:lncRNA from 1 species
ACCAGAUUGGCACUCUGAGAAGUCCAGUCUCAGAUGCACUCCAAAACUGACCUGAAUCUCCAAAAAGGAAUCGCUGGGGUGGGGAUAUUCCCUGUGGCCACCCCUGAGAUUACACUGGGCUCCAGACACUAGCUUGGAAGUGAGAUGACAGAAACAAUGACCCAGCCAAUAAUGUUAUCACAAAGCUGGGGUUUUCAGCAGGGCGCCAGGUGGCCUAAGGAUCUGAUUGCACUUGGCCAAACGCUCGGCUCGGCAAGGGCACCAGUCUUGAUCUGCCCAGUACAGAGCCCCACCACCAGUUCGGCGAUGAAAGUGUCCUCCCUCUCCCCAGAUCAAUGGGACACCAUGACAUCCCAGCCAUUGGACUGAGCCAGCUUACAAGCCUGCAGAGACUCGAUCACAGAGCCAAUCUGGUUGGCUUUGAGCAGGAGGCAGUUGCAGGACUUCUCACUGACAGCCUUGGCAAUCCUCUUAAGGUUGAUUACUGUGAGAUCAUCCCUAACCACCUGGAUGCCAUCACUAGCUGUGAACUUCUGCCAGGUCUCCCAGUCGUCCUCGAUGGACACCACUAGAUACUCCCAGAUGAAGGACUUAUACAGGUCAGCCAGCUGGUCGGGUGUGAUGUACCUGCUGGGGUCAUCAGGAGACUUGAAGCCCAGGUCAUACUUAC